rnacentral:lncRNA from 1 species
CCUCCACGGGCUAGCCCAGUAGUGGUGUGGCCCCUGAACACGGUGCUUGGUGCAGACGCCAGUCCAGCUUGUCGGAAGGCUGUGGAGGGGACGUGCUCUGGGGGCCAUUGCAGACACACACGGCUCCUGACUGUCUACACCGGCACAUCCAUCAACACCAUCACCCCCGUCUACACAGAUGCCCACGCCACUUCACACACAGUGUACCUGCCCCCACUCAACGACCAUCCCUGUCUACACAGACACCUGACCCUCCUCACACACACAGCACACACAGCCCUACUCCACCAUCACCCCGUCUACACAGACACACACCCCCACUCCACCAUCACCCUGUCCACCAUCACCCCGUCUACACAGACACACACCCCCACUCCACCAUCAUCCCCGUCUACACGGACACCGCCACUCCAUCAUCACCCCCGUCUACACGGACACCCGACCCUCCUCACACACACAGCACACACAGCCCUACUCCACCAUCACCCCGUCUACACAGACACACACCCCCACUCCACCAUCACCCUGUCUACACGGACACCCGCACUCUACCAUCACCCCUGUCUACACCAUUACCCUCAUCUGCACGGGUGUCCACCCCACCCUGUCACAUUCACACACAUCACCACCCUGUCUACACCAUUACCCUCAUCUGCACGGGUGCGCACCCCACCCUGUCACAUUCACACACAUCACCACCCUGUCUACACCAUUACCCUCAUCUGCACGGGUGCGCACCCCACCCUGUCACAUUCACACACAUCACCACCCUGUCUACACCAUUACCCUCAUCUGCACGGGUGCGCACCCCACCCUGUCACAUUCACACACAUCACCACCCUGUCUACACCAUUACCCUCAUCUGCACGGGUGCGCACCCCACCCUGUCACAUUCACACACAUCACCACCCUGUCUACACCAUUACCCUCAUCUGCACGGGUGCGCACCCCACCCUGUCACAUUCACACACAUCACCACCCUGUCUACACCAUUACCCUCAUCUGCACGGGUGCGCACCCCACCCUGUCACAUUCACACACAUCACCACCCUGUCUACACCAUUACCCUCAUCUGCACGGGUGCGCACCCCACCCUGUCACAUUCACACACAUCACCACCCUGUCUACACCAUUACCCUCAUCUGCACG